GAACGCUGGCGGUGCGCCUAACACAUGCAAGUCAACGGGGUUAUCAUGCGAAACUCACUUCGGUGAGCGGAGUGUGAUAACUUAGUGGCGAACGGGUGAGUAACACAUAGGUAACCAACCCUUAGGAUUGGGAUACUCCCGAGAAAUCGGGCUCAAUACCGAAUAUGAUUCCGAGGUGAAAUUCCUUGGGAUGAAAGCUCCGAGCAAUCGUGGCGCCUAAGGAUGGGCCUGUGGCCUAUCAGCUAGUUGGUGAGGUAACUGCUCACCAAGGCAAAGACGGGUAGCCGGACUGAGAGGUUGAUCGGCCACACUGGAACUGAGACACGGUCCAGACUCCUACGGGAGGCAGCAGUGAGGAAUUUUGCGCAAUGGGCGAAAGCCUGACGCAGCGACACCGCGUGGGGGAAGAAGGCUCUCGGGUUGUAAACCCCUUUCGUGAGGGAAAAAGUGCCGAUUCGUCGGCAUGAUGGUACCUCAGGAAGAAGCCACGGCUAACUCUGUG
rnacentral:rRNA from 1 species